rnacentral:rRNA from 1 species
UAGGGAAUCUUCCGCAAUGGACGCAAGUCUGACGGAGCAACGCCGCGUGAGUGAAGAAGGUUUUCAGAUCGUAAAACUCUGUUGUUAGAGAAGAACAAGUGCUAGAGUAACUGUUAGCGCCUUGACGGUAUCUAACCAGAAAGCCACGGCUAACUACGUGCCAGCAGCCGCGGUAAUACGUAAGUGGCAAGCGUUGUCCGGAUUUAUUGGGCGUAAAGCGAGCGCAGGCGGUUCCUUAAGUCUGAUGUGAAAGCCCCCGGCUCAACCGGGGAGGGUCAUUGGAAACUGGGGAACUUGAGUGCAGAAGAGGAGAGUGGAAUUCCAUGUGUAGCGGUGAAAUGCGUAGAUAUAUGGAGGAACACCAGUGGCGAAGGCGACUCUCUGGUCUGUAACUGACGCUGAGGCUCGAAAGCGUGGGUAGCAAACAGGAUUAGAUACCCUGGUAGUCCACGCCGUAAACGAUGAGUGCUAAGUGUUGGAGGGUUUCCGCCCUUCAGUGCUGCAGUUAACGCAUUAAGCACUCCGCCUGGGGAGUACGACCGCAAGGUUG